GAUGAACGCUGGCGGCGUGCCUAAUACAUGCAAGUCGAGCGAACGGACGAGAAGCUUGCUUCUCUGAUGUUAGCGGCGGACGGGUGAGUAACACGUGGAUAACCUACCUAUAAGACUGGGAUAACUUCGGGAAACCGGAGCUAAUACCGGAUGAUAUUUUGAACCGCAUGGUUCAAAAGUGAAAGACGGUCUUGCUGUCACUUAUAGAUGGAUCCGCGCUGCAUUAGCUAGUUGGUAAGGUAACGGCUUACCAAGGCAACGAUGCAUAGCCGACCUGAGAGGGUGAUCGGCCACACUGGAACUGAGACACGGUCCAGACUCCUACGGGAGGCAGCAGUAGGGAAUCUUCCGCAAAGGGCGAAAGCCUGACGGAGCAACGCCGCGUGAGUGAUGAAGGUCUUCGGAUCGUAAAACUCUGUUAUUAGGGAAGAACAGAUGUGUAAGUAACUGUGCACAUCUUGACGGUACCUAAUCAGAAAGCCACGGCUAACUACGUG
rnacentral:rRNA from 1 species